UCCGGGACUGGGCAGUCAGCAUGAGAAAAUGUUCAAUGGCUGGAAAGUGCAGGGGUCAAAAUGUCCAUACGAACUGGCUGUCUAUGUGGUAAAAAGUAUGAACGUUGUAAUGCCUUAGUGUCAAAAUGUCCAUACGGACCGGCUGUGUAUAUGGCAAAAAGUAAAAAUUUCAAAAUUUGCAGUGGUUCAAAUGGACGGCAGUUAAAAUGUGUUCAGGUCCAAUUAAACAAGUGCCAUAAUGUAUAAUAGCCAACGCGAACACAUGCGUAAAUGCAUCACGGUCUCGUCCUACACUAAAACGAGCAAUAACCGAUAGCAGCCGAUGCAUUUUUAGUGAAUGCCCCGCGAUGGAUCUUCUCCAUAUCCCGUAUCUUUCAAAGGCCAUGCUUUUAUCAAAACAUAAUUUUUAUGUGCCACGAGAUGCAAGGGUGUGCCGUCAACAUUUAGAAUCUGAAAACUGGGACCAUGUAUUAAAUUAUAGUGCAUCAGUUACUGAUUUUAAUGAAAUCCACACAGCAGACAUCAUACAAAUUUAUAAAAGUACUCUACAGUUGAUAAAUGUUACCGUGUCGUCUGCCCUAAUAGAAUAAGGUCAUUUUAGGCUGUAGACUAGAAUUAAAUAAUAAAGGUUAAAAUUUAA